rnacentral:lncRNA from 1 species
GCGCCCGCGCCGGCCCGGCUCCCGCCCGCAACUCGGCGCAACUUUCCCGCGGGCAGGCGGGCACCCUCGCCGCCGGCCCGCUCCCCGCGCGCCCCGGGCCCGCACGGACCUUGCGGUUGCUGGAGGUGCCUCCGGGACGCGGCCGCAGCCCCGCGCCCGGCGGCCCGAGCAGGGCCGGGCUGGGGCUCCGGCUCCGGGCUCGGGCUCCCGCUUGGUGCGGAGCCGCGCGCAAACCUUCCGGGUCGCCUGCUGUUCACUUCUGGGUUCUGCAAGCGCCGAGGCGGCGGCGGCGGUGGCGGCGGCGGCGGGAGGCUGGGUCUGCGGCGUCGCGCGGCCCCCCGUGCGCUCCGCGAGCCACUGCGCCAGGCGCCCGGCUCCGGGUUGGGGGGCCGCGUUGGGCCCCCGCCUCUCCGGCUGCACAGCCCGUCCGGCCCCGGGGCUUCGGGGGACACUUGGCAUUGGAUUUAGGGUUCACCUGGGUAAUCUACAAUGAUC